rnacentral:misc_RNA from 1 species
GUACAAUUUGAGCUACUGGA